CCGAGUGCGGGUCCUUUGGGCCCAACCUCCCAUCCGUGUCUAUUGUACCCUGUUGCUUCGGCGGGCCCGCCGCUUGUCGGCCGCCGGGGGGGCGCCUCUGCCCCCCGGGCCCGUGCCCGCCGGAGACCCCAACACGAACACUGUCUGAAAGCGUGCAGUCUGAGUUGAUUGAAUGCAAUCAGUUA
rnacentral:misc_RNA from 2 species